ensembl:lncRNA
UCCCUUCAUUCAUGGAAAUGGAACCACGUCGGCUCAUUCCAAGGCCUCUGGUCCACGCACAGAACACCCCUUCCUGCCAGAUUUUCCACCCACCUGGGGUGGAAGCCUGGGGCACAGUCACCCUGCAUUUUUACAUGGUGACCAGGAUCUGUCAUAUUUCUUAGACUUAAUUCACACCUGGCCAACUUAACAAUCAUGUUGGAAGCUUUAGCGUCUUGAUAUCUGACACUUUUAAGAAUCCAGAUGUCAGAUAUUUUUUGCGUUUUGAGAAGCCUUGCUCGAUACAUUAGUUUACAGCUGGGCUCUAAGAAAUAAAAUCUCAAGAACAUUCCAUUUGUUUGCAAGUUUUCCUCUGCCAACUCGUGGACCCCAAAUGGAGGUGAUGACUGUAUCCCCCAAGAGUGGAGUUUGUCACAACGCUUCCCACUAGGAGCCGCUGGUUUCUGAGUGAUAUUGGUAAAAAGAAUAACGAUAAUAAUGAUCAAGGUCAUUGCUUUGUGAAGCGAACAGCUAUCGGUAAUACUGAAACACCAGAUAGGCUUUGAUGACACUGAGGGAAAACCUUAUUACAGCUCUGAUUAACUGUAAUCUGAUGUGACCUACACAGAGAUCGUCUGUGGAAAUCACAUGUCCUGCAGACACAUGCACUUUAGGCUAAGUCCACCUGCACCUGUUACUAAGAUACGACCCUGAAAACACUGCUUGUCUGUUCCAGCCUGCUUCCUGUCUUGAAAAAACGUGGGGUCAACACCAUCACAGACAUCGGACCCCCCGGCCAAGGAGACCCGAGGCCACUCCCGUCCCAAAGGAUGGAAUCCCAGCUGGGCGGGACUCAUGGAUGGUGGGGGAGGGGCUUCUGUUUGUCCCCACACGUGACCUAGAUACCAAGGACAUGAUGCCCUUCAGAUCCCACCUGCUCUCUCUUUCAGUCUUUGGAGCUGGGAAUUCAAUAAAAUUUGAGGCCUCAAAUAUUCUUAGUUUGUCUAAUUAUCACAUUAACACUUACUACUUUUUGUAAAAAAUAUUUUAGUUUUUAUCAUCUUUUGUGCCAUUAUUCCAAUUAAUUGUGUUGGAAAAUGCUCAGCCUGAACAUCAAAGGAUAAGGUGCUACUUUUUGAAGUCGUGUUGUUUGAUAACAGAGUCUUCUCAGAUUUCAGCAUCUGGAAAUGGGUCGAACUAUAAAAAUUUUAUAUAUUUGCGUGCGGAUCACAAUAUAUCUUGUGCACGUAAAUGAACAGAUGUGACAUGUCUGUGCCAUCGAAUUUCUAGCUGAUCUGGAAAUACCCAUUGAUAUUUUUCAUCGUUUCCCUUCAGCAAAAGUCUUAAGGUUGUGAUUUCACCCGGGCGUCCAGAGAUCACUGGGCGUCCCGGGGUGACGCUAGGAGUGACUUAGUGAACAAACCGCCAGGGCACGGUGGCUCAAGAACAGGUGAGCCUGCACGUGACAGGACCUGGAGGGCCCACAGGCCAGCGGGACACGGCCCUGGGGUCUCGGGCUGAGGCGACUCAGCCGCCUUCCCCCGUGGCCCCCAAGCUUGCCCGCGCCCCGUCUCCACGGCAGUGGGAGGGUGGGGGCGUGGGGGGCCCAGAGCGGCUCACAUUCCAUGAGCCAACAGGAAGUCAG